rnacentral:rRNA from 1 species
AAAUAAUACAUUAACGAUUUACUCGUAUAAAAUUCUAAAUAGAAUAAUGAUAAUGACAAUUUUCUAUUUAUAAGUCUUGACCAAAUUACGUGCCAGCAGUCGCGGUAAUACGUAAAAGACUAGUGUUAGUCAUCUUUAUUAGGUUUAAAGGGUACCUAGACGGUAAAUUAAACUCUAAAUGAGUAUUUUUUUACUAGAGUUUUAUAAAAGAAGGAAGAAUUUCUGGAGUAGUGAUAGAAUACUUUAAUACCAGAAGGACUGUUAACGGCGAAGGCAUCCUUCUAUGUAAAAACUGACGUUGAGGGACGAAGGCUUGGGUAGCAAUAAGGAUUAGAUACCCUAGUAGUCCAAGCAGAAAAUGAUGAAUGCCAAAGACUAGAAAAUAAAUUUAG